UACGGGGGGGGCAAGCGUUGUUCGGAAUUACUGGGCGUAAAGGGCUUGUAGGUGGCCAACUAAGUCAGACGUGAAAUCCCACGGCUUAACCGAGGAACUGCGUCUGAUACUGGAUGGCUUGAGUGUGGGAGAGGGAUGCGGAAUUCCAGGUGUAGCGGUGAAGUGCGUAGAUAUCUGGAGGAACACCGGUGGCGAAGGCGGCAUCCUGGACCAUGACUGACACUGAAAAGCGAAAGCGUGGGGAGCAAACAGG
rnacentral:rRNA from 1 species